AAUUUUUCGCAAUGGGAGAAACCCUGACGAAGCAACGCCGCGUGGAGGAUGAAGGCCUUCGGGUCGUAAACUCCUGUCGACCGGGACGAACGUAGUCGGGUCCAAUACACCCGGCUAUCGACUGUACCGGUGGAGGAAGCCACGUCUAACUCUGUGCCAGCAGCCGCGGUAAUACAGAGGUGGCAAGCGUUGUUCGGAUAUACUGGGCGUAAAGCGCACGUAGGCGGCGCCGUAAGUCAGGGGUGAAAUCCCGGAGCUCAACUCCGGAACUGCCCUUGAAACUGCAGUGCUAGAAUCCUGGAGAGGCGAGUGGAAUUCCGAGUGUAGAGGUGAAAUUCGUAGAUAUUCGGAAGAACACCAGUGGCGAAGGCGACUCGCUGGACAGGUAUUGACGCUGAGGUGCGAAAGCGUGGGGAGCAAAC
rnacentral:rRNA from 1 species